rnacentral:rRNA from 1 species
AUUGAACGCUGGCGGAAUGCUUUACACAUGCAAGUCGAACGGCAGCACGGACUUCGGUCUGGUGGCGAGUGGCGAACGGGUGAGUAAUGUAUCGGAACGUGCCCAGUCGUGGGGGAUAACGUAGUGAAGAUUACGCUAAUACCGCAUACGAUCUAUGGAUGAAAGCGGGGGAUCGCAAGACCUCGCGCGAUUGGAGCGGCCGAUAUCAGAUUAGGUAGUUGGUGGGGUAAAGGCCCACCAAGCCAACGAUCUGUAGCUGGUCUGAGAGGACGACCGGCCACACUGGAACUGAGACACGGUCCAGACUCCUACGGGAGGCAGCAGUGGGGAAUUUUGGACAAUGGGCGAAAGCCUGAUCCAGCCAUUCCGCGUGCAGGACGAAGGCCCUCGGGUUGUAAACUGCUUUUGUACAGAACGAAAAGGUUUCUACUAAUACUAGGAGCUCAUGACGGUACUGUAAGAAUAAGCACCGGCUAACUACGUGCCAGCAGCCGCCGUAA